rnacentral:lncRNA from 1 species
AUGAGAAAGGCUCCUUUAGGGAUGUUUUGCAGAUACGUCGUACAGGAACAAGCCGAAGAUGAGCUGUAUUAUUUCUUGAUCAAAAACAUUGAAUUAAUCUUAAAAAUUCAUAUUUUUUUUUCUUUUUGUAGGACACAGAACAGAUGUAUUGUAACUGUAUCCUCUUUCUGCAUUAUGCUGCAACUUGACAAAAAUGAGCCACAAGGAGAUACAGUCUGCAAGUAUCUGCGCGUAACUUUCUGUUCAGAAGAAUGGAAAACGAUGCGAAUUUCAACUGUCACACUUCUAAGAAGGGAUCCCUUUCUUGCUGCUUUACGCUAUUGUAGAUUCUCCCGCACAACAGUUCUAGAAUAUGUAGCUGCAAAUCCAGCUGAAGAAACAAGCAGCAGGGAAGAGGAACGUCUUUGGCCGCACCACUAUUCUGGCCACCGUCUAUUGGCCACCCCAGUUGCGCCAAUGCAGUUGUUUGCUGGGACGUGCUGUAACCUAGGGCAAGGGAAUUAUCUGACCUACAACACAUCUUGUUCUGCAAAUAGCAAUCCUCUUGCUGCUGAAUGGAGAAAGAAUGCUCAGCCUUGAAUAUCAAUUCUAACUGGAGAGACCUGGAGGAUACCUAACCAGAGGGACAGGUGUUUCUAUUACCAAAAAUUUCAGUAAAAAGGCCAAGGACUGAAGAAAUGUGAAGACUGAAUUCUUCCUUUCUCCAUGGCCCCUCAACCAGCUUUUUAUGUCAAGGUGUGGCUGACAGACAAGCUUGGUGUAACUUCCCGUGCUGCCUCUCUUAGGCAGGUAAAGAAAAGUCAACAUGUAAGGUACCUGAUCUGAUGCCUGUAAAAGAAAAUGCAGUAGAGACUGUGGGUUUUAAGAAGAACGAGUCUGUUGUAGGAGAUUAUUUAAGAAAAUAAAUAAAGCAUAACUCAUAACA